rnacentral:rRNA from 1 species
AAAAUGGAGAGUUUGAUCCUGGCUCAGGAUGAACGCUGGCGGUAUGCUUAACACAUGCAAGUCGAACGGUCUUUUAGGAGACAGUGGCGGACGGGUGAGUAACGCGUAAGAAUCUACCUUCAGGUUGGGGACAACCACUGGAAACGGUGGCUAAUACCGAAUGUGCCGAGAGGUGAAAGGCUUGCUGCCUGAAGAAGAGCUUGCGUCUGAUUAGCUAGUUGGUAGUGUAAGAGACUACCAAGGCGACGAUCAGUAGCUGGUCUGAGAGGAUGAUCAGCCACACUGGGACUGAGACACGGCCCAGACUCCUACGGGAGGCAGCAGUGGGGAAUUUUCCGCAAUGGGCGAAAGCCUGACGGAGCAAUACCGCGUGAGGGAGGAAGGCUCUUGGGUUGUAAACCUCUUUUCUCAGGGAAGAAAAAAAUGACGGUACCUGAGGAAUAAGCAUCGGCUAACUCCGUGCCAGCAGCCGCGGUAAUACGGAGGAUGCAAGCGUUAUCCGGAAUGAUUGGGCGUAAAGGGUCCGCAGGUGGCAUUGUAAGUCUGCUGUUAAAGAGUUUGGCUCAACCAAAUAAGAGCAGUGGAAACUACAAAGCUAGAGUGUGGUCGGGGCAGAGGGAAUUCCUGGUGUAGCGGUGAAAUGCGUAGAUAUCAGGAAGAACACCAGUGGCGAAGGCGCUCUGCUAGGCCGAGACUGACACUGAGGGACGAAAGCUAGGGGAGCGAAUGGGAUUAGAUACCCCAGUAGUCCUAGCCGUAAACGAUGGAUACUAGGCGUAGCUCGUAUCGACCCGAGCUGUGCCGGAGCUAACGCGUUAAGUAUCCCGCCUGGGGAGUACGCAGGCAACUGUGAAACUCAAAGGAAUUGACGGGGGCCCGCACAAGCGGUGGAGUAUGUGGUUUAAUUCGAUGCAACGCGAAGAACCUUACCAAGGCUUGACAUGUCACGAAUCCUGUGGAAACAUAGGAGUGCCUUAGGGAGCGUGAACACAGGUGGUGCAUGGCUGUCGUCAGCUCGUGUCGUGAGAUGUUGGGUUAAGUCCCGCAACGAGCGCAACCCUCGUUUUUAGUUGCCAGCAUUAAGAUGGGCACUCUAGAGAGACUGCCGGUGACAAACCGGAGGAAGGUGGGGAUGACGUCAAGUCAGCAUGCCCCUUACGUCUUGGGCUACACACGUACUACAAUGCUCCGGACAAAGGGCAGCUACACAGCGAUGUGAUGCGAAUCUCAUAAACCGGAGCUCAGUUCAGAUCGAAGGCUGCAACUCGCCUUCGUGAAGGAGGAAUCGCUAGUAAUUGCAGGUCAGCAUACUGCAGUGAAUUCGUUCCCGGGCCUUGUACACACCGCCCGUCACACCAUGGAAGUUGGUCACGCCCGAAGUCGUUACCCCAACCU